rnacentral:rRNA from 1 species
AGAUACCCCACUAUGCCUAACCUAACACACAAUAAAACUUAUUGUUCGCCAAAUAACUACGAGUAAAAACUUAAAAUUUAAAAGACUUGACGGUACUUCACACCACCCUAGAGGAGCCUGUCUAACAACCGAUACUCCACGAUUAACCCAACCCACCCUAGCCUAAUCAGUCUAUAUACCGCCAUCGCCAGCUCACCUUGUAAAAGAAACACAGCGAGCAAAAAAGCACUGCCUCUAAUACGAUAGGUCGAGGUGUAACUUAUGGGAGGGGAUAGAUGGGCUACAUUUUCUAUCUUAGAAAAUACGAAUAGACUAUGAAAAUAGAAACCGAAGGAGGAUUUAGCAGUAUGCUGAGGACAAAAUACUCAACCGAAAUAAACGCAAUGAAGUGCGUACACACCGCCCGUCAUCCCUGCAACACACUAAUAAACUACAUAAACUUACACAAUUCACCAAACAGGGCAAGUCGUAAC